UAGCUCAGUUGGGAGAGCAUCUGCCUUACAAGCAGGGGGUCAUAGGUUCGAGCCCUAU
rnacentral:tRNA from 1 species